rfam:Solanum tuberosum cultivar DM 1-3 516 R44 scf00276_42, whole genome shotgun sequence.
AGAAAGAGUUGCAGCCAAGGAUGACUUGCCGACUUUUGUAUUACUCUUCAUAUGGAAACUUGGAAGAUAAAGUUGGCAAGUGGUCCUUGGCUACAUCUUUCUUUCU